AACGAACGCUGGCGGCAUGCCUAACACAUGCAAGUCGAACGAUUGCCUUCGGGUGAUAGUGGCGCACGGGUGCGUAACGCGUGGGAAUCUGCCCUUAGGUUCGGAAUAACAGCUGGAAACGGCUGCUAAUACCGGAUGAUAUCGCGAGAUCAAAGAUUUAUCGCCUGAGGAUGAGCCCGCGUUGGAUUAGGUAGUUGGUGGGGUAAAGGCCUACCAAGCCGACGAUCCAUAGCUGGCCUGAGAGGAUGAUCAGCCACACUGGGACUGAGACACGGCCCAGACUCCUACGGGAGGCAGCAGUGGGGAAUAUUGGACAAUGGGCGCAAGCCUGAUCCAGCAAUGCCGCGUGAGUGAUGAAGGCCCUAGGGUUGUAAAGCUCUUUUACCCGGGAAGAUAAUGACUGUACCGGGAGAAUAAGCCCCGGCUAACUCCGUG
rnacentral:rRNA from 1 species